AUUCAACAUGUCUGCUCCCAGCUGAUCGUUGAUAAACGGAAACAUGACAAGAUUUGGAUUGCUGUUGGAGUUUGUGUUUCCUUCGUAGUUGGGAUUGUGGGAGCUUAUCUCUGUCGUAAGAGAACUGCAGAUCACGGUGUGAC